AGUGUUCUCAGAGCCCUAGAACGUGGGCAGCUGGGCUUCCCGGGUUGCGUGAGUCGGGGGCAUGAGCUUUGUGCUUGUGUUUUGGUUAUGGAAAUCAGUCUGCGUAAAUGUGUAGUAGCGGAGAUAGUCGAAUGCAGUGACUUUACAGUAUACUGCAAUAAAAAUAUCAACCAACAUUUAAGGGUGCCUGAACAUCUCACUUCAUCACCACAACAGUGUACAGAUAGGUCUUGUUAAUAAGCCUGGUGUUGCAGAUAAGGAAACUGAUGCUUAGAAAAGAUAACACGCUAGCGGCCGGGCGCGGUGGCUCACGCCUGUAAUCUCAACACUUUGGGAGGCCGAGAUGGGCGGAUCACCUGAGGUCAGGAGUUCGAGACCAGCAUGGCCAAACAUGGUGAAACCCCGUCUCUACUAAAAGUACAAAAAUCAGCCGGGCGUGGUAGCGGGCGCCUGUAAUCCCAGCUACUCAGGAGGUGAGGCAGGAGAAUCGCUGGAACCCGGGAGGUGGAGGUUGCAAUGAGCCGAGAUCACUCCACUGCACUCCAGCCUACUCCAGCCUGGGCGACAAAAGCUAGACUCCAUCUCGAAAAAAAAAAAAAAGAAGAAAAGAAAAGAAAAGAUAACACGCUAGCAAGAGAAGAGAGAAAAACCUUAACUGAUGCAACCACAUGCU
rnacentral:lncRNA from 10 species